UAGGGAAUAUUGGUAACGUGCGAAAGCGCGAACCAGCAACGCCGCGUGCACGAUGAAGGCCUUCGGGUCGUAAAGUGCUUUUAGAGAGGAUGAGGAAGGACAGUACUUUCUGAAUAAGCCUCGGCUAACUACGUGCCAGCAGCCGCGGUAAAACGUAGGAGGCUAGCGUUAUCCGGAUUUACUGGGCGUAAAGCGCAUGCAGGUGGUUUUGUAAGUUGGAUGUGAAAGCUCCUGGCUUAACUGGGAGAGGUCGUUCAAAACCACAAGACUUGAGAUUGGUAGAGGAAAAUGGAAUUCCGGGUGUAGUGGUGAAAUGCGUAGAUAUCCGGAGGAACACCAGUGGCGAAAGCGGUUUUCUGGACCAAUUCUGACACUCAGAUGCGAAAGCUAAGGUAGCAAACG
rnacentral:rRNA from 1 species